rnacentral:Y_RNA from 1 species
GGCUGGUCCAAGGGUCAUGAGUUAUCUCCAUUGAUUUGUUCACAGUAAGUUACAGAUCGAACUCCUUGCUCUACUCUUACCUCCUUCUCACUACUGCACUUGAUGACUCCUAA